rnacentral:rRNA from 1 species
GACGAACGCUGGCGGCGUGCCUAAUACAUGCAAGUCGAACGAGAGCGACCGGUGCUUGCACUGGUCAAUCUAGUGGCGAACGGGUGAGUAACACGUGGGUAACCUGCCCAUCAGAGGGGGAUAACAUCCGGAAACGGAUGCUAAAACCGCAUAGGUCUUCGAGCCGCAUGGCUUGAAGAGGAAAAGAGGCGCAAGCUUCUGCUGAUGGAUGGACCCGCGGUGCAUUAGCUAGUUGGUGAGGUAACGGCUCACCAAGGCCGUGAUGCAUAGCCGACCUGAGAGGGUGAUCGGCCACAUUGGGACUGAGACACGGCCCAAACUCCUACGGGAGGCAGCAGUAGGGAAUCUUCCGCAAUGGACGCAAGCCUGACGGAGCAACGCCGCGUGAGUGAAGAAGGUUUUCGGAUCGUAAAACUCUGUUGUUAGAGAAGAACAAGUGCUAGAGUAACUGUUAGCGCCUUGACGGUAUCUAACCAGAAAGCCACGGCUAACUACGUG